GUUUCUUUGCAUAUAAUUUUGAAAAAAGGGUCUGCUUAUUCACUCUGUUCCUGAGUACACCCGCAUCCAGGCCUGUGUGGUGCAGUAUCUUCCUCUUCUCCCCUGGACUGUGCACUGCUGUCAACCUCAUCUGUCCAGUAUUAAGUGUCAUGUAUUGAGCCAUCCCCAUAACCAUAGCAUGGAAUCCCUCCCUCACCAAUGGGAUGAAGAGGAGGCAAUCAAGAUGAAGAAACUGAAGAAAAAGAGGAUACGUUACCAGCCAAGUUCAUGGAAAUGUUAA
rnacentral:lncRNA from 13 species